rnacentral:rRNA from 1 species
AGCUAAUAGAUACCCCGGUAGUCCACGCCCUAAACGAUGUCUACUAGUUGUUGGAGGAGUAAAAUCCAUGAGUAAACGCAGCUAAACGCGUGAAGUAGACCGCCUGGGGAGUACGGUCGCAAGAUUAAAAACUCAAAGGAAUUGACGGGGGCCCGCACAAGCGGUGGAUUAUGUGGAUUAAAUUCGAUGCAACGCGAAAAACCUUACCUGGCCUUGACAUGCCACUAACGAAGCAGAGAUGCAUUAGGUGCCCGUAAGGGAAAGUGGACACAGGUGCUGCAUGGCUGUCGUCAGCUCGUGUCGUGAGAUGUUGGGUUAAGUCCCGCAACGAGCGCAACCCUUGCCAUUAAUUGCCAUCAUUUAGUUGGGCACUUUAAUGGGACUGCCGGUGACAAACCGGAGGAAGGUGGGGAUGACGUCAAGUCCUCAUGGCCCUUAUGGCCAGGGCUUCACACGUAAUACAAUGGUCGGUACAGAGAGUUGCCAACCCGCCGAGGGGAGCUAAUCUCAGAAAGCCGAUCGUAGUCCGGAUUGUUCU